GAUGAAGAACGUAGCGAAAUGCGAUAAGUAAUGUGAAUUGCAGAAUUCAGUGAAUCAUCGAAUCUUUGAACGCACAUUGCGCCCGCCAGUAUUCUGGCGGGCAUGCCUGUCUGAGCGUCAUUUCAACCCUCAUGCCCCUAGGGCGUGGUGUUGGGGAUCGGCCAAAGCCCGCGAGGGACGGCCGGCCCCUAAAUCUAGUGGCGGACCCGUCGUGGCCUCCUCUGCGAAGUAGUGAUAUUCCGCAUCGGAGAGCGGCGAGCCCCUGCCGUUAAACCCCCAACUUUCCAAGGUUGACCUCAGAUCAGGUAGGAAUACCCGCUGAACUUAAGCAUAUCAAUAAGCGGAGGA
rnacentral:misc_RNA from 1 species